rnacentral:rRNA from 1 species
UACGAAGGGGGCUAGCGUUGCUCGGAAUGACUGGGCGUAAAGGGCGCGUAGGCGGUUCGUACAGUCAGACGUGAAAUUCCCGGGCUCAACCUGGGGACUGCGUUUGAUACGUGCGGGCUUGAGUUCGGAAGAGGGUCGUGGAAUUCCCAGUGUAGAGGUGAAAUUCGUAGAUAUUGGGAAGAACACCGGUGGCGAAGGCGGCGACCUGGUCCGAUACUGACGCUGAGGCGCGAAAGCGUGGGGAGCGAACAGG